rnacentral:sRNA from 1 species
UCCCACCGCUCCACGUUUCCUCCCUGAACUUGGGCCGUCCUUCGGGGCGGCUCUAUUUUUUGUCUGGC